rnacentral:rRNA from 1 species
ACUCAAAUGAAUAGACGGGGACCCGCACAAGCAGUGGAGUAUGUGGUUUAAUUCGAUGCUAAGCGAAAAACCUUACCGAGGCUUGACAUCCUUGGAAUCUCUCCGAAAGGAGAGAGUGCCUUCGGGAGCCAAGUGACAGGUGCUGCAUGGCCGUCGUCAGCUCGUGUCGUGAGAUGUUGGGUUAAGUCCCGCAACGAGCGCAACCCUUGUCGUGUGUUACACUUUCACACGAGACUGCUCCGGCAACGGAGAGGAAGGUGGGGACGAAGUCUGGUCAGCAUGGCCCUUACGCCUCGGGCUACACACGUACUACAAUGGUCGUCACAAUGGGUUUUGCCAAGCGGCAACGUGGAGCUAAUCCCAUCAAAAGCGGCCUCAGUUCGGAUUGAGGGCUGAAACUCGCCCUCAUGAAGUCGGAAUUGCUAGUAAUGGCGGAUCAGCAUGCCGCCGUGAAUACGUUCCCGGGUCUUGUACACACCGCCCGU